rnacentral:rRNA from 1 species
GGCGGACGGGUGAGUAACGCGUGGAUAACCUGCCUCACACAGGGGGAUAACAGUUAGAAAUGACUGCUAAUACCGCAUAAGCGCACGGUACCGCAUGGUACAGUGCGAAAAACUCCGGUGGUGUGAGAUGGAUCCGCGUCUGAUUAGGUAGUUGGUGAGGUAACGGCCCACCAAGCCGACGAUCAGUAGCCGACCUGAGAGGGUGACCGGCCACAUUGGGACUGAGACACGGCCCAAACUCCUACGGGAGGCAGCAGUGGGGAAUAUUGCACAAUGGGCGAAAGCCUGAUGCAGCAACGCCGCGUGAGUGAAGAAGUAUCUCGGUAUGUAAAGUUCUAUCAGCAGGGAAGAAAAUGACGGUACCUGACUAAGAAGCCCCGGCUAACUACGUGCCAGCAGCCGCGGUAAUACGUAGGGGGCAAGCGUUAUCCGGAUUUACUGGGUGUAAAGGGAGCGCAGACGGCACUGCAAGUCUGAAGUGAAAGCCCGGGGCUCAACCCCGGGACUGCUUUGGAAACUGUAGAGCUAGAGUGCUGGAGAGGCAAGCGGAAUUCCUAGUGUAGCGGUGAAAUGCGUAGAUAUUAGGAAGAACACCAGUGGCGAAGGCGGCUUGCUGGACAGUAACUGACGUUCAGGCUCGAAAGCGUGGGGAGCAAACAGGAUUAGAUACCCUGGUAGUCCACGCCGUANACGAUGAAUACUAGGUGUUGGUGGGCAAAG